rnacentral:lncRNA from 10 species
UGAAAUUCCUUCUCCUGGUUCAUCCUGGCUCAAAAGCUCCCCUACUGAGCGCCUUUUGACCCCCACACCUGCUCCCCCUUUGACUGUAAUUUUCCUUUACCUACCCAAAUCUUAUAAGACGGCCCUAUCCCUGUCUCCCUUGGCUGACUCUCUUUUCGGACUCAGCCCGCCUGCACCCAGGUGAAAUAAACAGCCUUGUUGCUCACACAAAGCCUGUUUGGUGGUCUCUUCACACAAACGCGCAUGAAAUUUGGUGCCAUGACUCGGAUCGGGGUACCUCCCUUGGGAGAUCAAUCCCCAGUCCUCCUGCUCUUUGCUCCGUGAGAAAGAUCUACCUAGGACCUCAGGUCCUCAGACUGACCAGCCCAAGGAACAUCUCACCAAUUUCAAAUCUGGACCCCACUGAAAAUCGGACUGUUCAACUCAUCUGGCAGCCACUCCCAGAGCCCCUGGAACUCUGGCCCAAGCCUCUCUGACUGACUCCUUCCCAGAUCUUCUCGGCUUAGCAGCUGAAGACUGACACUGCCCAAUCGCCUUGGAAGCCCCCUAGACCAUCACGGAUGCCGAGCUUCGAGUAACUCUCACAGUGGAGGGAACGCGCAUGAAAAAACCAAACAAACAAAAAAAUUUCUUUUGGUAGCAGAAUAAAAAAACAAAAAAAAGGACUUUUUCUUCUGGACUGAACUAUAUUUAAAUCUCAAAGGAUGGACAUCUCACAACCUUCCUACAGCAAGUACUGUGAGAAAAGAUACUAGCGCCAGUCUGGCAGGGGCCUUUUCUAGUCUCAAGCACGCUGAGCAGUCCUACACCUUGCCUUCUGAGAGAGAAGAGGACAGUCCUCAGCCUCCUGAAGCCUGGCAAGGGUGCCUUAGUGAGGACAUCACCUGCAACUCCCAGAUGGAUAGACGAGGCCAUGGAGAGAGGAGAACACCAACCCAUGAGUGACAAGUGCCUGUCAUUGUCAAUGAUGCUGCAAGCACCACGAUGCCCCUUCUUAGCAGGGACCCAGUGGGCCUUACCAGCUUCAUUAUUUUCUAGGCAUGAUCGCAUCCUGUCUCCCAUUUUUGCUAAAAUUCUAUCUAGAGAAAGAGCUCAUUUUUAGCUAAAAAAAAAAAAAUCCUGUUUUAUCUGCUAAAAAAUCACAUAAAAUAACUAUUGGACUGUUUGAAAUGGCGUGGCCUCUGCUCUGACUUAUUAACUGUGAUCUUGACUAAGUUAAGCAGUCACUCUGACCUUACGUUACUCCCUCAAAUUUGAAUAAAAAUAGCAACUUCCUCUACUUAUAAAUUACUUCUAAAAAUUAGAUUCUUGAGAUUCAAAGAUAGGUAAUACCUGCCUUCAAGAAACUAACUCUCAAGGCUGCUGUAUGGAAAUCCUGCCUCCUAACUAGAUUGCACUCUUCUAAAUGCUGUACUACUGCUAUACACAUUCUCCAAAUCAAGUUAAUUUCAAAGUCUUGCUGAAUCUACUUUUUAGAAAUAUCUAAGUCAUGUGUACGUCUUUCCAUUCCUGCAUCCCAGGGGAUUGCAGCCAUCAGCUCACCUCCUCUCCUAAUCCAAAAUGUUCCUAACUGGUCUCCUGCCUUGCCUUUCUCCUGAUCACUUCCUACAACAGAGUGAUCGUGACUUGAAAUGCAAAUUAUAUUGUAUGAGUUAUCUCCCAAAAACAUUCAGCUGCCUAGCUCCCUUAACAUGAAGUCCAAAUUGCCCUAACAUGGAGUCCAAAUUUCGUUAGCAUGGUUUAAGAGUCUCUUCAUGAACAAAAGGCUUCUGUCUUCUCCAGUCAUACCCAAAUCUUUCCUAAUCAAAAGCCAUUUUUAUCAGUUUAAGAACAGAGACAGUUGUUCCAGAUAUAAGGAAGAGCAUUGGCAAAGUUGCAGAUAAUAAUUUAGCUCACAGCACAGUCCAUCAAUCUUACAAGCAGUUCUAAUAGUUCCUGGAUUUGGAAUUUGAUGCAGAGCUUGAUGCAGGCUUUGUAUGAACAGAUGCUUAUAUAAAAGCUAAAAUAGGUGCAGAUGUCUUCUGUUAACCUCACAGGAUAUGACCAUCAAUUAACUUCAAUUUUGUCUUGUUUACUAUGCAAACGUUUGAAUUUCAUAUUUAUUUUGCUCAUAUCAAAACAUAAUUUUAUUGACCAAACUAAGGACAUUUUCCUACAAAAGUAUGUUAGCUCUAGCAUUCCUUUAUCAUUGGAAUCUAACCACACAUUGUUCAUUCAUUCAACAGACAUUUAAUGAGUGCCUAUUAUUUGUCAGCUAUUUUAUUAGAUACAAGUGAGAACACAGACAUGGUCUCUUCUAAGAGAAGGUAGAAUUCAUUUAGAACUGAAAAAUUAGCAAAUAAAAGACAUGAGCACAGAUUUGAAGACAGGUGAAUGGAUGUUCUCUCUUUAAUGGUUAGAAUAAGUCGGAAAGUAGAAAGAGAAGGGAACUUAACCUGCCUAUUUAAGUGAAAGAAUAUUUGGCCAAAUAUGCCUGAAUUUAGUUAUUGGUGGAUUAAUUCAAAUAUGUUAUAUGAUUUGUAAGUUUCCAGAAGGGCUCCACUCUAUAAGUAUCUAUGCUAUAUAAUGCUUACAUUUCAAUUUCAUAUACAUUUAUUGGGGUUAAAAUAAUUUUUUUGAAACUGCAAAUCCAUCUAGAGGAGCAAUAGAUUAAUAUUGAUAAUUAUUUGUCCCAUAAUGUAAUUGUGUUGGGAUUUUUCAAUUACAGUCAAUUGAAAUAAGACUGAUUUUUAAUGGAAAGAAACAGACUAUAACAUUGCUGGGGUAAUCUGACACAGUGAGUUAACCGAGAGCAGUAAAGGACAGAAAGAUAGACAACAUGGGGAGCUACAGUUCCAUAGAGAAACUCUUCCUGCUUUUAUAGUAACACUCUCACUAGUCAAGGCUAUACUAACAAUGUUGUGAAUUGAAUUUAUUGUUAGAUUUUAUUCAAGAAUAACACAGACAUUGAUUUUAGAUCAUUGCUUCUCUAAGAAAUAUAAUGCUAGCAAAGAACCUAUGUAGAUAUGAGAGACAGAACAGAAACAUUUCUAUGAGCUGAUUAGCAAUAUUAUUCUCAUUGCCCAACAAAGAAUAGUGUAUAGUAGAUAUGUGACUAAGACAGGGCAGUAAGUAAAUAAAAGAGAAGAAGAAACCUAUUUUUCUGAGUAGUUUUCUUUAGUAAUAGACUUUCUCUUCUUUCAGUUAGUUUCCUCUUUCCUUUUCCUUGUCUUUCUUCCUCCUUUUCUUCUGUACCAUUUCUUUUAUCUUUUUUGUUGUCAUCAUUGUCUCCUCUACCUCCUCCUCCUUAUCCCCCAUCUUCCUCAUCUUUUUCAUUGUCAUUAACUAUGAGAUGAUAGUCUAGGGACUCUUCAGAUGCAUAGUUCCUUUCAAAAAUCACUGAAUAAUUGAUUAAAGAUAUGUAUUUAACAUAGAAAUAAAGUUUCAAAAACAAAUACAGUAUGGCAUAGUUCACUGGUGUAUGGAAUUCUUUUUUUUUAGUGGAUUUAUUUUUUAGAGGAGUUUUAAGUUCAAAAUUCUUAUAAUUUUAGGCCAGGCACAGUGGCUUACACCUGUAAUCACAGCACUUUGGGAGGCCAAGGUGGGCGAAUCACUUGAGGAACAUCCAAAAUGUAUUGUUUUCAAGAGGUCAGAAUGUCUCUUCUAUCUAUGUCCACUUAGAGGACCAAACAUGACGAGGAGGAGAGACUAUGGUCCUCCCAGUCCCUGAUAAACAGCAAUAUUGAAAGUAGGCCAAUAAGUAACCGAACAAUGAUCUUUAAGUGUUCAAGUGACAGGAAGAGUCACAUGACAUAGAGUUCUCACUACAUUCUAAAGUGACUGUUCUCACUGCGUUCUAUUACAUUGACAAUACACCUAGUCACCCAAAGCUCUGAUGGAGAUGUAUAAAGAAAUUAAUGUGGUUUUCAUGUCUGCUAACACAACAUCCAUUCUGUAGCCUACGGAUUGGGGAGUCAUUCUGACUUUCGAAUACUAUUAUUUAAGCUUAGUGAUGAAAGCAUGUCAAAAGCUGAGACAGACUGAAAACUAGGCCUCGUAUGCCAAAUAGUUAGCCAAGUUGUGAAUGCAAAGAAGACGUUCUUUAAGGAAAUUAAAAGUGAUACUCUAGUGGACACAUGAAUGAUUUUUAAAUAAAUGAAAGCACUUUCUUGCUGAUAUGGAGAAAGUUUUAGUGGUCUGGAUAGAAGAUCACAUCAGUCACAACAUUCCAUUAAGCCAAAGCCAGAACAAGGCCCUAACGCUUUAAAUAUAUGAAGGCUGAGAGAGGUGAGGAAGCUUCAGAAGAAAAUGUGAAGCUAGCAGAAGUUGUUUCUUGAGGAUUAAAGAAAAAAGCUAUCUCUAUAACAUAAAAGUGCAAGAUGAAGUAUCAAAUGCUGAUGUAGAAGCUGCAGCAAGUUAUCCACUGUUCAUCAAUCAUCUGAACUAUCUGAACUUCUACACUAAACAAAAAUUCUCUACGCUAAACAAAAAAUUUUUAAUGUAGACAAAAUAGCCUUCUGUUGGAAGAAGAUGCUGUCUAGGACUUCCAUAGCUAAAGAGGAGAAGUCAAUACUUGGCUUUAAAGCUUCUAAAGACAGGCUGACCCUCUCAUUAAAGGAUAAGGAAGCUGGUGACUUUUAAGUUGAAGCCAAUAAUCAUUUACCAGUCAGAAAAUUUACAGUCCUUAAGAAUUAUGCUAAAUCUUCUCUGCCUGUCCUCUAUAAAUGAAACAACAAAGACAAAUUACAGCACAUCUGUUUACAGCACAGUUUGCAUUGUUUACUGAAUAUUUUAAGCUCACUGUUAAAAUCUACUGCUCAGAAAGAAAAGGUUUCUUUCAAAACAUUACAUUGACAAUGCACCUAGUUACCCAAGAGCUCUGAUGGAGAUGUAUAAGGAGAUUAAUGUUUUCAUGUCUGCUAACAAAAUAUCCAUUCUGUAGCCUAUGAUUCAAGGAGUCAUUUCUACUUUCAAAUUUUAUUAUUUAAGAAAUAUAUUUCAUAAGGCUAUAGCUGUCAUUGUGAUUCUGCAGAUGGAUCUGGGAAAAGUAAAUGAAACACCUCCCAGAAAGGAUUCACCAUUUUAGAUGCCAUUAAGAAUAUUCUUGAUUCAUGGGAGAUCAAAAUAUCAACAUUAACAGGAGUUUGUAAAAAGUUCAUUUCAACCCUCAUGGAUGACUUUGAGGGGUUUCAAGACUUUGGUGGAAGAAGUAACUGCAGUUGUGGUGUAAAUAGCGAGAGAACUAGAGUUAGAAGUGGAGCCUGAAAAUGUGACUGAGUUAUUGCAAUCUCAGGAUAAAACUUGAACAAAUGACAAAUUACUUCCUAGGAAUGGGCAAAGAAAAGUACUUAUUUGGGAUAGCAUUUGAUCCUGGUGAAGAUUCUGUGAAUGUUGUUGAAAUAACAAAAGAUUUCAAAUAUGUAAAACCUAAUUGAUAUAGCAACAUCAGGGUUUGAGAGAAUUGACACCAAUUUUGAAAGCAAUUUUACUGUGGGUAAAAUGCUACCAAACAACAUUACAUGCUAGAGAAACCCCUUAUCAAAGGAAAAGUCAGUCUAUGUGGAAAACUUCAUUGUUGCCUUAUUUUAAGAAAUUGUGUCAGCAACCCCAGCCUUCAGCAACCACCAUUCCAAUCACUCAGCAGCCAUCAACAUUGAGGCAAGACACUCCAGAACCAAAAAGGUUAUAACUCAUUGAAAGUUCAGGUGAUCAUUAGCAUUUUUUAGCAAUAAAGUAUUUUUAAAGUUAAUGUCUGUACAUUUUUUAGACAUAAUGCUAUUGCACACUUAAAGUAUAGUGUAAACAUAAGUUUGAUAUGCACUCGGAAACAAAAAAAAUUCUGUUACUUGCUUUGUUGCAACAUUCAUUUUAUUUCAUUGGUCUGGAACUGAACACAUAUCUCCAAGGUAUGCCUAUAUUGUUAAAAAAGAAUAGGUAUACCAGUGUCUGGGUCCUCCAAGAGACCUUCGUGAAAACAAUGAUGGAAUCUGUAAUAUCCUCUAUCUUAAAUAUCCUUAAGUUGAAGUCACAAGACUUACAAAAAUAUUUUUGUCUUUUUCUCCACUCUGAACAAAGUGUUAUCCUUUGAAAGAAUUAUUAUUCUCAGCAAACUAACACAGGAACAGAAAACCAAACACCGCAUGUUCUCACUCAUAAGUGGGAGUUGAACAAUGAGAACACAUGGACACAGGGAGGGGAACAUCACACACCGGGGCCUGUCAGGGGGUUGGGGGCUAGGGGAGGGAUAGCAUUAGGAGAAAUACCUAAUGUCAAUGAUGAGUUGAUGGGUGCAGCAAACCACCAUGGCAUGUGUAUACCUAUGUAACAAACCUGCACGUUCAAGACAUGUAUCCCAGAACUUAAAGUAUAAUAAUAAUAAUAAAAAGAAUUAUCUUUGUGAAAGACAUAAUCUCAUUACUCUCCUUGUUGACUCUUUUUUCCUCCAUGGUUUUGGAGAUGACUGCAGUAGUCUGUUAUGGAGAUUGUCACAAGAUAGAGUGUGAUAAUAGCAA